rnacentral:rRNA from 1 species
GAUGAACGCUGGCGGCGUGCCUAAUACAUGCAAGUCGAGCGAACUGACUAGAAGCUUGCUUCUAUGACGUUAGCGGCGGACGGGUGAGUAACACGUGGGCAACCUGCCCGUAAGACUGGGAUAACUUCGGGAAACCGAAGCUAAUACCGGAUAGGAUAUUCUCCUUCAUGGGAGAUGAUUGUAAGAUGGUUUCGGCUAUUACUUACAGAUGGGCACGCGGUGCAUUAGCUAGUUGGGGAGGUAACGGCUCACCAAGGCAACGAUGCAUAGCCGAGCGGAGAGGAUGAGCGGCCACACUGGAACGGAGACACGGCCCAGACUCCUACGGGAGGCAGCAGUAGGGAAUCUUCCACAAGGGACGAAAGUCUGACGUAGCAACGCCGCGUGGGUGAUGAAGGCUUUCGGGUCGUAAAACUCUGUUGUUAGGGAAGAAGAAGUACAAGAGUAACUUCUUGUACCUUGACGGUACCUAACCAAAAAGCCACGGCUAACUACGUGCCAGCCGCCGCGGUAAUAC